AUAUAUAUUUAUAUAUCUUUUUUAAUCAUGGGAGAAGUCCCAUGAUUAAAAAAGAAAUGCAUUUAAAAUAAAAAUACAAACAUUUCUCACUCUAUCACAAAAUAAGACAAGUACUAUAAAAUAGAAUGUAUUUGGUUCCUGUACGCAUCCUUUCAUGAACCGAAUCAAGUAGGUAUGCCCAAUGACCUUUGCCAUUUUUAAGUGUAAAAAAUAUAAGUUUCAAAUAACAUCAGUGCAAGCCAUGUAUCAAAAUAAACAUUUUUUUUUAAUGUUCCUGUUACGGAUUUGUCUUUAAUCUAGCAUUUUAAAUCGAAUCUAUUUUAGAUCUAUUAAAUCUAAUUCAAUAAGUGAAAUGUGUGACUUGGGAGCACAAAUGCGGAUCAAAAGUGUAGCCUUUUAUUUUGUGCCAAAUAUAUUCGAUUUUUUUUUUCGUAAUUGGCCAGUUACAGAUAAGGCAUAGCCGUACUGUCUGAUAUAUUUUUAUUCAGACGAAACAAAUAAAAAUGACAUAACAUGUGAAUACAGCUAAAUGUUGUUGUGUCAAUUGAUCAGUCGAACAACAAGAAUAGGAUUAAUAUAUAGUUAUAUUUGGUAAAAAAUGAAUAAUUUUUUACUUAAUUUUGGGCUGGAAUUAUGUCUCUCACUUUCAUAAACGACUAUAACCAAUUUAAAGGUUUAGUUUCCUUUAACCGUUUCAAGCACCAAAUAAAACAAAUUAUGGCGUAAAACAAUGUACAUACAUGUGUUAAAAUUUAAGAAUUUGUGAAGAGUGUAAAUUAAGAUUAGUAUGAAAGAGCAUAUUUUAAAACGAUAUUUUUAUGAACAACCAAAUGGGAUUGACAAAAUAUGGUGUACCAAGACAAUAUUAUGAAAUUGAACGAACCUAUAGAUAAUAUAUUAUUGUAUAGAUAACAUAACUACUUCCGAUAUAACGCAACAAACAAUAAGUUUCAUAAAUAAUUUGGAAUAUAGGUAGGGUAGUAUCCGUAAUGGAUUUCAUAACGUUAACACCAAAAUCGUUUGUUUAUAAUAAACGUGUUAAAUAUUUUUAUUAUAUGUGUGUGCGUAGUGCCUACUUAUUUUCAUUCAUAAAUAUUUUUGAUUUGAAUUUUUUAAUUCUUUCUUGUUAUUAUAACGUAGUUUCAGUGCUAAAUGGCCUUAGAUAUUCAACAAAUUAGUCACCUAACAAAAUUAUCUAUUUUACAGUAUUUGAAAUAGUUUUUAUUAAUAAGAUAAUUUAAAGUAUAUUAUGAAAACAAAUAAUAAUGUUUUUAUUGGAUCUUAACAAUUUUUGAUUAUUAAUAUACAUCGCAGUUUGCAUUAUCAAUUACCUGAUAUACCUAAAAGAAUAGACAACGGCGUUCAUCAAUGUAAUUUGAAAUGCUUGUUUCACGUUUAGUGUAGUUAUGUAUUAUUAAAUAGAUUCUUUUUUAAUGACAAUGUAUUUGCGAGACGUUUUUUAUAUGAAUAAAGGUUUGUUUGUCAAUGCAGAGGUAUAAAUGAAUUAUAACCAAGUUUUGGUCCAGUAAAUUUUGAAAGGCACUAAUUUUUCUAUUGAAACUUUUGUCGUUGGAAUUCAAAGAGCAUUUUAUUCUAUUUUAAAUAAAUAAAUACGAGCAUUUAUAGUUUAUAAAGACUGCCAUUUGAUUUUUUCAUUUUUAUUAUCUAUUCUGUGAUAAGGUUGCGUGUUUGCUGUUUGUGGUAUUUAGUCAUGUUUUGUCAGUUUUUUUCAUGUAUUGUAUAAGUGCAGCAAUUUUAUCUGGUCGGUAUUUUUUUAAGUGUUAAGACGGCGAUUAUCAUAAUUCCCUUUUUCGCGACCGAUAUUCUUGAAGAGAAAGAGAGAGGAAGCUGGAAAUAAACAGUUUUAUUUAAAUAAAGAACCCGGAUGUUGUUUUUACAUAGAUAAGUGACGUUCUAAAUUGCUGAUUGUAUCAGAGUUGUAUUUCGACAGUCCAGUUAUAUUUUUAAUGACGAAUUAACGAUGCAUUAAAAUGCUAUUAACAGAGCAAUUCAAAUAUCAAACCUACCCAUCAUACAACAUUCUUAAAGUUAAACCACAAUUAUGUUCGUGUAGUAAUUGAAGAAGGUACACAUAAUAUUGUAUGAAUUUUAUUGAUAAUAGACGCGUAGAUUUGAAUUAUUUCUAUAUUGUGUAAUAAUUGAAAUGAUUAGCGUUACAGUAUUAGAUUGUUUAGCAUUGGAUGCUUCCAUUGGUGUAAAUAAGAUUUACGUACUUUGUUAGAUAUUUAUCAUAAAGUGGAAAUAUAUUGAUUGGUCUGAUA